UUUAGGAGGACUUUGUGGGGAGAUACUUUAGCACAAUGGGAAGAAAUCAAGCAGGAAUGUGCUGAUGUGUCCUUAAGUGAUUCUAAAGAUGAAUUAAUAUGGUCCCUUAGUGCUAGUGGUAAAUACUAUGUCAAAUCCUUCUAUAGCCAGCUGAUUGUUAAUAAUCUAAACUUUCCUUUCAAAUAUAUGUGGAAGAUAAAAGUUCCUCUAAAAAUUAAAAUCUUUGUUUGGCUGAUAAUGAGAAGUAGCAUUCUCACCAAACAUAACCACCUGAGGAGGGGUGGUACAUGGUCUGGAGACUCCGAGUGUGUGUUCGGUGGGCAAGAGGAAACAAUUGACCACCUGUUUCUAAAAUGCUCAGUUGCAAAGUUUUCGUGGUGUAUACUUCAGAAUUCUUUUGGUCCGGGGUGCUACCUGAUGACCUGA
rnacentral:rRNA from 1 species